UGUGAAUGGAAGUCCAAGGAUCUAGCAGU
rnacentral:piRNA from 1 species